GACUGGGGAGAUGCUGUGGACGUUCACCCAGUGUCACCUCUGAAGCGUUCACACUGUGUGGUGGUCCUGGGCUUGCAGACUUGCCCUUCAUGCCAGCCCUGCUAGGCUGGGGCAGCAACCUCCUGGCUGGCACUGGCUGUGCCAUGUUGCCUGGUUGAAAUUCAUUAUAAAAUCUUACUCCGUCUUUUAUUCUCCAGACAUUGCUUUUGGAAACUUUUUCCUGAUUACAAUUGGAUGAUUAAGAGAAGACAAAUUAUUUGUACACUCUGUGCUCUUGUUUGGUGUUAAUCAAUGAGUAAAAGAAAUACUACCAGUGGAUAGUUCACAACUGCUGUUUUAAUUCUCAGGAUGAGUCUAUUUCAUAAAUAUUGUGAGAAUUCGCAGACUAAUCAUUCAAUCUGCCAUUUACUAUACUGAAAAAGAAACAGGAUUUUCUAAUCUCUUGGAACAAAAAAUGAUUUUGAAAAGUAACUGUAUUUUCAUGAAAUAUGUUUGAAAAUUCAUGGGGUGGGGGCUGUCAGUAUGUUAAGAUCCUGUGUAUUGAAUAGAGGUGUAGCCUAUUGCAGUCAUUCCUGAGAUCAGUGGAAAAUUUUGUUAUCCCAAGGAUAUCACUUCCUGCUAAAUUCCCCUGCUCUGUGCAUAUGAACUUCUUCCAGAAACUGAAUUGGUGAGUAAAGGUUGGUUAAAAAUGAAAGUUUUUGGGGACUGCACUAUGAUCAGUGGUGACUCUCCCUCUCCUGGGGGAUUGGUGAGGGUUGGACAUGCCUUUCUGACCAGAGUGGUAUCAGAGGUACUUAGAAGGAUCAGAGGUCUGCAAGCCAUUUACCUUGAGAAUCCUGUAAUUGAUGAGUGUUGGAUUUAAAUGAAGGUUGCAGUCUGGGAAUUCCCUGUAUAGGAAAAGCAACUUUUUCCUCUUACUGGAAUUGACUUAGGCCUUUGGUCAUUGAUUGGAUGUUUCUGUGAUACCAUGAACCUGGAAACUUUUCAGAAUUAUAAUCUUCCCCAUCCUAUGUCGGAUAAACACCUGGAUCUGCACUGUCCACAGUAAGAGUUUUCUUUUCAACCAUUUGAACACAGUCUGACAUCCGCCAUGAAGCUCUCCCUGUAAUGAUGCAGGUCAGCAGAGGCUCUUUUAGGAAAGUUAGUGGGCUCAUGGGGACACGGCCUCCUGUUGGGGAGCCCUUCCUUGGAUCAUCAGCCUAUGCUCAUGAGAUGGUUUUUAGGGGGUAGCCUUUGGUACUGCAGUAUUUCCCCUAUCUGGGGUACUUGGGACACCAUUCUUGCUGCUUCUUACACACUGGUGGUCUGGAGCUGGUUCUAACCGUGGUCAUCGCAACGUGGAUUUUGAAGAGAAUGUGCCUUCUAAUAAUGGGUUGCAGAAAUGACUUCAAGGCCUCGGGUUCUGAGAGUUCUCACCAUGUGUCCCAGUGAUGGAUGCUCAGCAUGCAUUUUCUCUUUCCUGGUUGUUCAGCAUCCCUUCCUGGAAUCACCAACCCUGUAACUAGUCUCCUUUGGGAAAUAUAGAUUAACCCUGUUUGUGCAGAGAAAAGGUCUAAGCCUUAGUCCAUUUCCCACAACUUUCUAGGUGUGGGAAGACCUUAGCAUGUCAGCAGUCUGUAAAAAAUCAAAUAGCAGGAAAAAAUCCCCAAAUGAUAAACAGACAGUCAGC
rnacentral:lncRNA from 1 species